AUACGGAGGAUGCAAGCGUUAUCCGGAUUUAUUGGGUUUAAAGGGUGCGUAGGCUGUUCGGAAAGUCAGGGGUGAAAGCCCGGCGCCUAACGCCGGAACUGCCUUUGAUACUUCCGAGCUGGAAUACGGAUGCCGUGGGAGGAAUGAGUAGUGUAGCGGUGAAAUGCAUAGAUAUUACUCAGAACACCGAUUGCGAAGGCAGCUCACGAAUCCGUCAUUGACGCUGAGGCACGAAAGCGUGGGGAUCAAACAGGAUUAGGUACCCUGGUAGUCCACGCAGUAAACGAUGAUGGCUAACCGCUGGGCUUAUCAGUUCAGUGGCCAAGCGAAAGCGAUAAGCCAUCCACCUGGGGAGUACGACCGCAAGGUUGAAACUCAAAUGAAUUGGCGGG
rnacentral:rRNA from 1 species